AUGUCUCUCGCCGGCUGCAGCGGCGGCGGUGGCGCGGCGGCGGCGACGUGGACGCCGCCGUACUGCACCAUCGUGGCGGCCGACACGUCCGACUUCUCCUACCUCUCCUGCCCGGCCUGCGGCCGCCGCGCGCUCCCGGGCCACGCCGAGGGCGCAGCCUGCGGGGCCUGCGGCGGCCCCGCCCCGGCGCGCGCCUACCGGCUGCUCCUCUCCGUGGCCACCCACGACCGCGUGUUCCCCGUCGUCCUCUUCGACCGCGCCGCGCGCGUCCUGCUCGGCUGCCCCGCCGACGAGCUCGCGCGCCUCUUCGCCGCGCACCGGGGCGCCGCGCGCGCCGCGGCGGACGCCCUGCAGGGGGAGAUGUGCCGCCUGGCGCUGCGCGAGCCCACCAAGGACGGCGCCGAGCACCUCCGCGCCGUCUCCGUUGUGCCGCUCCGCGACGGGUUCCGCUCGGUCGCCGACACCCUCAGGACGCUCUACUCGCGCGCCGGCGGCUGA
rnacentral:rRNA from 1 species